rnacentral:lncRNA from 1 species
UUUGUUUUUGGGUGCCAUUAUCAGAACUGAAGGCUAUGUACAAAACCAAAACACACACAGAAACACAGAGGGCAAAAUGGGAGGAACAGGAAGAGCACUGCUAAACCUCUCUCUCACUUCCUCCUCCACUUCUUCCUUCCGUUUCUCUUUCUCUCUCCUCCCUUCCCGUUUGCCUUUCUCCACAAAACCACUUCUUCCCCACCCCCCUAGGGUUUUACUAGGGUUUAGACCCCUUUGUUCUGCCACCACCACCACAACUGCUACUGAAGAAUCACUAAUUCAACCCAUUAAACAUUCAAUUCUUUUAGAAAGGCUUAGACUUAGACAUCUUAAAGAAUCUGCAAAGCCCACUUUAGAACCCAAACAACUAACACAAAAAUUUAAAGCUGAGGUGAAUGAUGAUGGAGUUAAGAAGAGUAAAAAAAAAGCGGUGGCGUCGAGUUUUGAGGAGUUAGGUUUGAGUGAAGAGGUUAUGGGGGCUUUAGGUGAAAUGGGUAUUGAAGUGCCGACUGAGAUUCAGUCAAUUGGGAUACCUGCUGUGAUUGAGGGGAAAAGUGUGGUUUUGGGUUCGCAUACGGGAUCUGGCAAGACUCUUGCUUAUAUGUUGCCUAUUGUUCAGGUGAAACAUUCAUAUGACUAAGCAUAUUUAACCUUCAAUUUAUUACAAUGUGUGAUUUUGGUUCCUCUAUAUAGGAAAUAUGUUACAUUUAGAUUAAUUUUAGAACUGUAUUAUUACCCUCGAUUAUGGAGUAACAGUCCAAGUUUAACAUAGAACAUGGGUAAUCCAAUGAUGCAAUGGUAUAUGAUUGGUUAAAUUUUUGAAGAUACAUAAGCAGAGUAAUCAAAAGUGCACAUUCCAAUUUAUUGAAGGUUACAUUUGCUUAAUCAGAUAUCACAAAGAUCAAAAUUAGAAUUUGCCGAUGUUUGAGGGACUAAAAGUGCAAAUUCCCUUGGUCGUUUGAUUACCAAUAGUAGCUUGUACUUAUUGUUAUUAGUUAUUGAGUAUACUUGCUGUAGUUUUCUGUCCCAUUUUUCUUCUUAGGUUAGUGUGUAGGAGAUGGUUUGGAUUACUCUUGCUUCAUUUCAUUUAGGAGAAAAAAAUGCUUCAUCGAUGAUGAUGCGCUAUGGAGCCUGAAAUUCCAACAAUUUGAACGAAAAUGAAUUAUAUCAUUCUAUCAACUACACUUCAAUCCAAAACUAGUUGCGUCGACUGUGGAUAAAUACUUUGUGUCAUUCCAAAUAGCUUGUACUUGUUGUUAAUAGUUAUUGAGUGAUACUUGCUGUAGUUUUUUUGUCCCGUUUUUCUUCUUAGGUUAGUGUGUAGGAGAUGUUUUGGAUUACUCUUGCUUCAUUUCAUUUAAGAGGAAAAAAUGCUUCAUCGAUGAUGAUGCGCUAUGCAGCCUGAAAUUCCAACAAUUUGAACGAAAAUGAAUUAUAUCAAUCUAUCAACUACACUUCAAUCCAAAACUAGUUGCGUCGACUGUAGGAUAAAUACUCUGUAUCAUUCCAUAUAGCUUGUAUUUGUUGUUAUUAGUUAUUGAUUGAUACUUGCUGUAGUUUUUUGUCCCGUUUUUCUUCUUAGGUUAGUGUGUAGGAG